ACAGGGACUAUAAGAGUAAGGAAAAACAAGGUGAAGAUAAAACUGAGAAGAGUAGCAGAGGAGGAGGAUCUAAGAGAGCUGUUGUGAGGAUCAAAUAACAGUAAAUGUGAAAGAAGUUUAUAAAUUGCUGAGUGCAAUAUAAGCACAGCUUCAGGGAUUAAAGCCAGAGACCACAAAUGUAAAGCCAGGCCAAGAGUCAGCCUCAG